rnacentral:rRNA from 1 species
CCUACGGGGGGCAGCAGUGAGGCAUAUUGGUCAAUGGACGAGAGUCUGAACCAGCCACGUAGCGUGAAGGAUGACUGCCCUAUGGGUUGUAAACUUCUUUUAUAUGGGAGUAAAAUGUUCCACGUGUGUGAUUUUGUAUGUACCCUAUGAAUAAGGCUCGGCUAAAUCCGUGCCAGCAGCCGCCGUAAUCCGGAGGAUCCGAGCGUUAUCCGGAUUUAUUGGGUUUAAAGGGAGCGUAGGUGGAUUGUUAAGUCUGUUGUGAAAGUUUGCGGCUCAACCGUAAAAUUGCAGUUGAAACUGGCAGUCUUGAGUACAGUAGAGGUGGGCGGAAUUCGUGGUGUAGCGGUGAAAUGCUUAGAUAUCACGAAGAACUCCGAUUGCGAAGGCAGUUCACUGGACUGCAACUGACACUGAGGCUCGAAAGUGUGGGUAUCAAACAGGAUUAGAUACCCCUGUAGUC